UGGCGGUAGGCCUACCAUGCUCUUCGAACGGCAGCACAGUAAGAGCUUGCUCUUAUGGGUGGCGAGUGGCGGACGGGUGAGGAAUACAUCGGAAUCUACCUUUUCGUGGGGGAUAACGUAGGGAAACUUACGCUAAUACCGCAUACGACCUUCGGGUGAAAGCAGGGGACCUUCGGGCCUUGCGCGGAUAGAUGAGCCGAUGUCGGAUUAGCUAGUUGGCGGGGUAAAGGCCCACCAAGGCGACGAUCCGUAGCUGGUCUGAGAGGAUGAUCAGCCACACUGGAACUGAGACACGGUCCAGACUCCUACGGGAGGCAGCAGUGGGGAAUAUUGGACAAUGGGCGCAAGCCUGAUCCAGCCAUACCGCGUGGGUGAAGAAGGCCUUCGGGUUGUAAAGCCCUUUUGUUGGGAAAGAAAAGCAGUCGGCUAAUACCCGGUUGUUCUGACGGUACCCAAAGAAUAAGCACCGGCUAACUUCGUGCCAGCAGCCGCGGUAAUACGAAGGGUGCAAGCGUUACUCGGAAUUACUGGGCGUAAAGCGUGCGUAGGUGGUUGUUUAAGUCUGUUGUGAAAGCCCUGGGCUCACCUGGGAAUUGCAGUGGAUACUGGGC
rnacentral:rRNA from 1 species